UAAAGGUUAAGAUAUAGAAAUAGCUGCUAACUAAUUUCUAAAGCGGUUAGAUUCCGUUUA
rnacentral:tRNA from 1 species